CCUACGGGAGGCAGCAGUGGGGGAUAUUGCACAAUGGGGGGAACCCUGAUGCAGCGACGCCGCGUGGGUGAAGGAGCGUUUCGGCGCGUAAAGCCCUAUCGGCAGGGAAGAAGGAGGACGGUACCUGACGAAGAAGCCACGGCUAACUACGUGCCAGCAGCCGCGGUAAAACGUAGGGGGCAAGCGUGAUCCGGAUGUACUGGGUGUAAAGGGGGCGCAGACGGCAGCGCAAGCCAGGAGUGAAAGCCCGGGGCCCAACCCCGGGACUGCUCUUGGAACUGCGCGGCUGGAGUGCAGGUGGGGCAGGCGGAAUUCGUGGGGUAGCGGUGAAAUGCGUAGAUAUCAGGAGGAACACCGGUGGCGAAGGCGGCCUGCUGGACUGCGACUGACGUUGAGGCCCGAAAGCGUGGGGAGCAAACAGGAUUAGAUACCCGAGUAGUC
rnacentral:rRNA from 1 species